UACGGAGGGUGCAAGCGUUAUCCGGAUUCACUGGGUUUAAAGGGUGCGUGGGUGGGUUGGUAAGUCAGUGGUGAAAUCUCCGAGCUUAACUUGGAAACUGCCAUUGAUACUAUCAGUCUUGAAUACCGUGGAGAUGAGCGGAAUAUGUCAUGUAGCGGUGAAAUGCUUAGAUAUGACAUAGAACACCAAUUGCGAAGGCAGCUGGCUACACAAAUAUUGACACUGAGGCACGAAAGCGUGGGGAUCAAACAGG
rnacentral:rRNA from 1 species